rnacentral:rRNA from 1 species
UGGGGAAUUUUGGACAAUGGGCGAAAGCCUGAUCCAGCAAUGCCGCGUGUGUGAAGAAGGCCUUCGGGUUGUAAAGCACUUUUGUCCGGAAAGAAAUCUUGGCUCUAAUACAGUCGGGGGAUGACGGUACCGGAAGAAUAAGCACCGGCUAACUACGUGCCAGCAGCCGCGGUAAUACGUAGGGUGCAAGCGUUAAUCGGAAUUACUGGGCGUAAAGCGUGCGCAGGCGGUUUGCUAAGACCGAUGUGAAAUCCCCGGGCUCAACCUGGGAACUGCAUUGGUGACUGGCAGGCUAGAGUAUGGCAGAGGGGGUAGAAUUCCGCGUGUAGCAGUGAAAUGCGUAGAGAUGUGGAGGAAUACCGAUGGCGAAGGCAGCCCCCUGGGCCAAUACUGACGCUCAUGCACGAAAGCGUGGGGAGCAAACAGGAUUAGAUACCCUGGUAGUCCACGCCCUAAACGAUGUCAACUAGUUGUUGGGGAUUCAUUUCCUUAGUAACGUAGCUAACGCGUGAAGUUGACCGCCUGGGGAGUACGGUCGCAAGAUUAAAACUC